CGAAAACUCUGCCGUUCGCGGCCGCAUUGGUUCAGCUGCUAGGGAAAAAACAAUACGCAACAAAUCAUCUUCCUAAUCUUCGGCGCACAAAUCGCUCCCCAACCCGAGGCCCGCCCGCCCGCGGCGGCGACUUCGAGUAGUCGCCCAUCGUGCAGACGCCGUCGUCGACACCUCCCCCGCCGGCUCAACGCUCCAGGUGCUCGGCCGCGCCCUGAACACAGGAUCAUCGACUCCUCUCCCACCCUCAUCGCAACUGUAGCCGACGCUGACGGCGCUCAUUAUAUCACCUGGGAGGACCUUGAAGUGCCGCACGGCGGUGUAGGCGUGCAGCUACUCUCCGACCCCGUGCGGCGACCGUCCAUAACUUGCCGCAGCGCUGGGAGCGGAUGAGGUCACACCGCGCGCAGGAUUGGGGCGGUGGUCGGACUUGGAUCUGGCGAGAUUGAUGUGGUUGUGUCCUGUGCCUCCCGGACGUCCGGAUACUUUCCCAUCCCUCCUGUGAAGAUGCCAGUGUAUGGAUUGUCAGACUUGUUCCAAAUCUGCACCUUUAAUGUCUCACUCUGAGCGAAUCAAGGAUCAGGUGACAUAGUUUCUACUGAAGCACUGUACAAGUCAAACCGAUGCUUAUUGCUCUUGUGACUGAACUAUAUAUUGAGUUAAUCCUUGACAAGAUACAUUUUCAGAUGUUGAUGUGAAUCAGGAUGGAAAAUUGAUAGAGCAGAGUGGUUGAACUUUUUCUCAAGAAAUCCAUCCUUUAUGAAGACAAGCUUGCUCAUAGGCGGAUGACAUUCUCACAAAAAACACCAAAAUAUUGUGUCUAUAGAGAUGUCUUGCAGGGAUGACACAGCUGGAUUUGGCACAGUUUUGUUUGGCUAAAUGCCAAUUGACAUGUCAAUAUACGCGAGCCGCAAGGUGCCUUUCACUGCCAGGGGGUGCAGCUGAGGCUGUGAAUGCUGCUGAAAUCUGCAAGCGCUGACCACUUCAUCUCACCCCGUGGGCAUGACAUGUGUCAUCCAUCAUUUCAUGCAGCGUGAUGUUGCUUAAAGGGUUAACAGAAUUACUAAGCAUGCCUCUGUGUUUAGGAGUUGAAAAGGCUUUGACUGGACGCCAAGGGAAAGGUGAACCUGUUGAUGCAAUGAACAUGCAGAACAUGGUGAAAUUGAAUAACACUUCCAUGGUUAAAUUUUCUGCCCCACGCACGUCCGCCGUUCAAGGUGCAUCCGGCACUACCCGCACGGAUCCACCUCGCAUGCCUGCUGCACCGUCCAUGACAUGCAUCUUGCUGCGCCUUUUUAAUAUAAGAGGCUUGUGCUUAUUUCUGUGAUUGCUCAAGGUAAUGCAAAGAGGUGGUCUAGACAUGAAAAUUGUGAAGUUUGUAAAUUGUAAUGACUCGAAAUUUGUACCAUCAUCAAAUGUGUGAAGUUUGUAAUGACUAGAUAUUUCACCAACGGUCAUGGCUCCAGAAUUUCAUCCUUGGUCAAUUGAUAUGCUUAACUUCUCUUGUCGAUAAUAGAAGAUUGCUCCUCUGGCCUCUGCAUCGCUCCAGAAUUAUAUUGCUUGAAC
rnacentral:rRNA from 1 species